rnacentral:rRNA from 1 species
GACGAACGCUGACGGUGUGCUUUAGACAUGCAAGUCGAACGAGAAAGCCCUUCGGGGUGAGUAAAGUGGCGAACGGGUGAGUAACACGUGGGUAACCUGCCCCCCGCAGAGGGAUAACCGGGGGAAACCCCAGCUAAUACCCCGUACGCUUGCCGGGUCGCAGGGCUCGGCCAGGAAAGGUAGCUUCGGCCAUCCGGCGAGGGAUGGGCUCGCGGUCCAUGAGCGAGUUGGCGGGGUAACGGCCCACCAAGGCGACGAUGGAUAGCUGGUCUGAGAGGAUGAUCAGCCACACUGGGACUGAGACACGGCCCAGACUCCUACGGGAGGCAGCAGUCGGGAAUCUUGCGCAAUGGGCGAAAGCCUGACGCAGCAACACCGUGUGGGCGACGAAGGCCUUCGGGUCGUAAAGCCCUGUUGUUGGGGACGAAGGACGAAGGGUUAAUAGCCCCUAGUCUGACGGUACCCUUCGAGGAAGCCCCGGCUAACUACGUGCCAGCCGCCGCCGUAAGAC